rnacentral:lncRNA from 1 species
AGUUUAGGAGCUAGGGUUCCUCUACGUCUUUGCUCAGUCUGCAACUAUGAGAGACUCCGGGAUCUCCUUUAAUACUCGCUCCCUUGAGCUGACGAGUAGGACUCUAUAACUCAGUAGGACUUCAGACUUAACUUGAACUUUCUAGAUUUCAGAGGCUUAUCUGAAGAGUCUUGGGAGAAUGGUUUAUAUACACAAGGAUCGGAGCCCAUCAUGACUUGCAUCUUGGGAUAUGCAAGAGAGUUUAGAGAUAAUUGUUUACACACCCACG